GACGAACGCUGGCGGCGCGCCUAACACAUGCAAGUCGAACGGAGAACGCGGGACUGAAGCCUUCGGGCGGAUGACUUGUAUUCUUAGUGGCGGACGGGUGAGUAACACGUGAGCAACCUGCCUUCAAGAGGGGGAUAGCACCUGGAAACGGGUGGUAAUACCGCAUAAGACCACAGCAUCGCAUGGUGCAGAGGUCAAAGGAGCAAUCCGCUUGAAGAUGGGCUCGCGUCCGAUUAGAUAGUUGGUGAGGUAACGGCUCACCAAGUCGACGAUCGGUAGCCGGACUGAGAGGUUGAACGGCCACAUUGGGACUGAGACACGGCCCAG
rnacentral:rRNA from 1 species